rnacentral:rRNA from 1 species
UACGUAGGGGGCAAGCGUUGUCCGGAAUCAUUGGGCGUAAAGCGCGUGUAGGCGGUCCGGUAAGUCCGCUGUGAAAGUCGGGGGCUCAACCCUCGGAUGCCGGUGGAUACUGUCGGGCUCGAGUCCGGAAGAGGCGAGUGGAAUUCCUGGUGUAGCGGUGAAAUGCGCAGAUAUCAGGAGGAACACCAAUGGCGAAGGCAGCUCGCUGGGACGUGACUGACGCUGAGACGCGAAAGCGUGGGGAGCAAACAGG